rnacentral:lncRNA from 1 species
GAUAGCUUGCUAGAGGCUCUUGGAGAUAGCGUUCCCCUAAUAGAAGACUAAGAAAGUUUCUAGGGCCCUUGAAACCCAUGCCAUGUGACUACGGACGAUGAUAUUUGUCGAGAGAUUGAAGUUAAAAAUGGUUAGUAAUUGUGAUAUUUGACUUGGUGAAAUCAUAGUGUGGUUGAGUUAAUGCAGAAUGGUGAGCCACUGAAGUAAACACAGAUACAGUAACAAUGGUAUAUUGGAGAAUGAGUGUUCCUUCCUGCACCUCCUUCAUCUCGUCCUACACCUCCAAAUUAUAAUUUAAUUCCUACUGUACCCCUAAUUCCUAUAAAGCUGACUUAUUCAUUGUUUUUAUAAAAAGUUACCUAACUUCGCCGC